ACGGCCCAACCAGCACCCAAUCUAAGCCUAAAAAAUUAGGAAUUCCGAAAAAAAAGUUUAUUUCGUUCGGCACCGAACGGAACGCAACCUUAUCUCCCCCAGUACUCUCUCCUCUCCUCUCCACUCACUCAACCUCUCUCGACCCUCUCCCGGUCUCCCCUCCCCCGCCCCAUCCGCUGUGCGUGACCACAAGCUCCUGCCGCAACCGCGCGACUCUGCCCGCCGACCACCGCAUCCGUCGCAUGCAUCGGCGGUUGCCGCACGACGAAGGUCAUGGCUGGUCCCACGACGGCCUCGGCUGGAGGAGGACGAUAGGUCCAUAGUGACGGACGCUCAAGUAAGAGGAGCGGCCCAAUGGCGGCGGCCUCGAGCACGGGGAUAAGUGCAGGCUGGGGAUGCAGGAGAGGUGCAGCGCGGGGUUUGGAGCUCCCACGAGCUGGGUGUGGCGCAUCCGACGGCGACAGACACAGGGACGCGUUGAUCCGGGUGUGGGUGCUCAAUUCGGUCCCGUUCUGGCCGGAUCCGCGGCGGUGCUCAUCUCUGGCGAGGUGGCCUGUGACUCGCGGGACGACGGCGGCGCAAGACCACAGGAGGGGCUCAUCUCAUGGGACAGGGGCGCGAGGUCUUGUUGGAUUCGGUUGCUGGUGGCUUGACGCAGGGGUGGCCGGGGUCCGACGCCAUGGAGGCUCUUCGAGGACGAGGAAGUAGACAGCGACGACAACUUUGAGGCCGGCGGGGGCGCCGUCUCCGCGUUCGAUGGUCGGGGUCCAACGCGGCCGCCGUUGGCUCCAUCCCCUACAGUUAUCAUGCAGAUAAGAGAACCAAAAACUACCACAUUGAUAUCUGCUUCAGGAAAAAUGGUUUGCACUGGAGCAAAAAGUGAACAACAAUGUAAACUCGCAGCUAGAAAGGUCAAAUACUUGACGAUGUUUUCUUCUCCCAACCUGGCAAGGUAUUGUACUACCUACAUGCAUCACUGGAAGGUGUGAUUUUGCUGUGGAUGGUUCUACUUGGUACUGAUUGACAUACAUACAUUGUUGGAACGUGAAACAUGUAGUCAAGGAACAAUCUUUGCAACGAACAAAAGUGCAUAUAUAGAGUGCACCCUUUCCAUUCUGGAGUAAGAAGUCAGUUGGAGUGAGAAGUGAGACAAGUACCAUGAGCUCAAGUGAUUCAUUCACCAAGCUGGUAAACGCAUAACUUCAAAAAAAUCAUCUCAAUAAGUUUUGGUUGGCUGAUAGCUUGCAAGAUCUUCAUAUUCUACAUAGAAGGUGCAGUGUGAUGUGAUGCAUAUGGAACUGGUAUUACUUUGCAGUAUGGAACUGGCGGUGGGUGUAUGAAAUGUGAUGGCAGUAACAUUAUACCUAAUUUCUUAUUAGUUCAUGAUAUGGCUGUUUGGAAUGUGAUACCUGGACGUGAGUGUCUCUGGCGUGGGAUCCUGGACGCCUCCGGCGGCGGCUGGUGAAAGGGAUAGCCGGAUCCUGGACGUCUUCAGCGACGGGUCCUGAAAGGGACCGGCGCCGGAUCUUGGAAGCGUUCGGCGGAGGGUCCUCAACUGGACAUGCACCGGAUUAGUGGAGACCAGCGGCGGAUCAGUGCCAGGGCGGUGGCGAAGGGAUGGAGCGGCGGCGGUGAAGGGAUGAAGAGCGGCAGCGGGCGAAUGAGGGCACAGACUCGGGCGUCUGUUUCUCGCUCGAGGGCACGAGACCUCGCUCGUACGUGCGGGGGAUUGAUGGGUGCGAAGGGAGGUUAGGCGCGUGGGGGCGGAUGUGGGACUCGGCCCUGAGGGUUUUUCUUGAUUCAUCGCGGCUGAGCGGGAGGUGGGAGCAGGUACCAAAAAAGACUGGGUGAGGUGGGACGAAAAUUAAACCCGAAACGCGACCUACCA